UGUAUCAGCAACAAUGCUCUUCUUAUUUAAUUUUCCAAGCUUCAUUCUUUACUCUUAUGCUUUGGAGCUCCCUCAAAACGCUUGAAAAUAUGCAAAAAACAUACAAUUUAGUGCAGAGCAAUGAGAUUUACAAAAGUUAAUGAAUUUGAUGAUUAUGCAUGUAAUUACCUAUCUAAAUGCUAUAAAAUGCUGUACAAAUGUGCUGAAAAACAUCUAUAUAAUACAAGUGUAUAGUAAACUUAUAUAUUUGGCAGGCUGAAUUAUUUAGAUUAUACGCGCGCGCACACGCACACUCAUAAUUUAGGCUAUGGCGCUUCCCUUGAAAAAAGUCCUUGCUUCGCCUCUUGCCUAAAGCCAUUGGAUACCUUGUCGCCUUUCGCCUUAACAACACUGAUCUUAAUUAUUAACAAUUCUGAUAAGCCUAAUUAUUUUUUUUUUGGUUGCAAAUUUUCAUUUGUAA
rnacentral:misc_RNA from 1 species